AUUAGAGUAAUUAAAGGGUAUAUGGUGGAUGCCUUGGCACAAAAAGCCGAUGAAGGACGCAGCAGCCUGCGAUAAUCCUCGGGGAGGUGGCAAACGACCUUUGAUCCGGGGGUCUCCGAAUGGGAUAACCCACUGCGGUAAACCCGCAGUGCCUUGCAAGAGAAGUCUUGUGAGGCGGGAACCACGCGAAGUGAAACAUCUCAGUAGCGUGAGGAAAAGAGAACAAACAACUGUAUUCAGUGUUAUGCGUUGAUAGUACUUAAUUUCGAAAGCAGCAAGUUAUGAUGGACAUUGAGUAUUGCCAUCGCAUAACGCUGAGUAUGGUUUUAUUCCCCUAGUAGUGGCGAGCGAACGGGGACAAGUCUAAACCAGAACAUCUUUGUUUGCGUCUGGACUCCGCAAGGAGAAUGGGCGCAAGCGAAAGGGUUACGGCCCGUAUGAUUUCUUGGUGUAACAAGAAGGUUUCUUGCUUUACCGUAAAUGAAGCGGAGAAUCCAAACUUAAAGUGUUGUGAGCUGGUUAGCCGAACGGCCCUGGAAAGGCCGGCCAAAGAGGGUGAUAGCCCCGUAGCGCGAAAACUCUCAUAGAUUCUCUGAAACUUUUCUUAAGUACGGCCAGACACGUGUAAUCUGGUCGGAAAUAGGGUUGACUACAAUCCAAGACUAAAUACUUUUUGUGACCGAUAGUGAACUAGUACCGUGAGGGAAAGGUGAAAAGCACCCCGGCGAGGGGAAUGAAAUAGUAUCUGAAACCAUAUACUUACAAAGAGUCGUAGCCCAUUAACCAAUGCUUCGCAUUGGAAAUUCGAAAUUCGAAUCUCGAAAUUCUAAACAAAUCACAAAUUCCAAAUCAUAAAUUCUAAACUUUCCUGUUUGGGAUUUAAAGAUUUAGGAUUUAAAUAUUGUUUCGGAUUUAGGAUUUAUGAUUUCGUGCUUCCACUGCGAAGCAGUGGUGGGGUGACGGCGUGCCUAUUGAAGAAUGACCCAACGAGUUAACGUACAUCGCUUGUCUAAGGUUUAUAAAACCGGAGACGUAGUGAAAGCGAGGGUUAAUAGCCCGUAAUAACCAAAUUGCUUCGCAAUUUGGAAUUCCUAAUUGACCUAAUGCCUAAUUUCUAAUCAAUGACCAAUGUCCAAUUCCCAAUUGGGAUUUGAGGUUUGGGAUUUGUUUAGAAAUUAGAAAUUAAAAAUUAGAAAUUGCCAGUUGCGAAGCAAAUGGGUUAUAGGUGGUGUGUGUUAGACCCGAAACCCGGUGAGCUACGCAUGAGCAGGAUGAACUCUAGGUAACACUAGAGGGAGGUCCGAACGCGUUACAGUUGCAAAUGUUUGCGAUGACUUGUGCGUAGGGGAGAAAUUCCAAUCGAACUGGGUGAUAGCUGGUUCUCCUCGAAAUAGCUUCAGGGCUAGCCUCAAGCGUUCCUUUCACAGGUAGAGCACUGAAUUGGUUUUAGCGGCGAAAGCUGUGUGACCGAAUCAAACUCCGAAUUGUGAAAAUUAAAGCUUGGGAGUCAGACUGUGGGGGCUAAGCUCCAUUUGUCAAAAGGGAAAGAACCCGGAUCAUCAUCUAAGGUCCCAAAGUUAAAGCUAUAGUGAAAAGGAUGUAUUUGGCCUCAGACAGAUAGGAGGUUGGCUUAGAAGCAGCCAUCCUUUAAAGAGUGCGUAACAGCUCACUAUCAGAGUUUUUCCGAUUCGUCGGAAAGGGGUCGAAUGCGCCGACUAUUCAGAGGGACUAAGCUUUACACCGAAGAUAUGAGUUAUCGCGGACUUCGGUCCGCGGUAGCGGUAGAGGAGCGUUCUUGCUUUGUUGAAGUCGGACCUGCGAGGGCCGGUGGAGAAGCAAGAAGUGAGAAUGUUGGGAUUAGUAAUUACUCUGCAGGUGAGAAUCCUGCACACCGAAAAUCCAAGGUUUCCUGGGCAAUGAUCGUCAGCCCAGGGUUAGUCGAUCCUAACUUUGCAGGCGAAAGCCUGCAGGGGAUGGCCAAUACGGUUGAUAUUCCGUAACCACGAUUAUGUUAUCCGAGGAGUGAAACAUCAGGAUAGUCCAGGCAUGAUUUGACUUAUCGUGUCCAGGCGCUAUGUAGGCGGGUGUUCCAGGCAAAUCCGGAACGCCUCAAGCUUUUUGUUUUUACCCCGCCGCAAGGCGGACUGA
rnacentral:rRNA from 1 species